GUGAGGUUCAGCACUGGGUUCAACCUCCUGUGCCUACUGAGCUGAUAACAGUUGAUGUAUUUAGCACUGGCUCAGUUCAGCAGGAACCGGAGUUAAGCCCCUUAAGACCAAGGGCGCU
rnacentral:precursor_RNA from 8 species